rnacentral:snRNA from 1 species
GUGCUCGCUUCAGCAGCACAUAUACUAAAAUUGGGAAUUAACAUGGGCCCCUGCGCAAGGAUGACAUGCAAAUUCUGAAGUGUUCCAUAAAGAU